GCCUUUCGUUUGUGGUAUACAAUGUUGGAUAACACCACUAUUUAUAAUACAUUUUUAAAACUGUAUUUCUUUAGAUAAUUAAAUGCUCGUUAUUAAUUACAUCGGAGAUUGAAGAGGCCUCAUGCGGA